UACGUAGGGUGCAAGCGUUAAUCGGAAUUACUGGGCGUAAAGCGUGCGCAGGCGGUUUUGUAAGUUUGUCGUGAAAUCCCCGGGCUCAACCUGGGAAUGGCGAUGAAGACUGCAAGGCUAGAAUCUGGCAGAGGGGGGUAGAAUUCCACGUGUAGCAGUGAAAUGCGUAGAGAUGUGGAGGAACACCGAUGGCGAAGGCAGCCCCCUGGGUCAAGAUUGACGCUCAUGCACGAAAGCGUGGGGAGCAAGCAGG
rnacentral:rRNA from 1 species